rnacentral:rRNA from 1 species
AGGAUGAACGCUGGCGGCGUGCCUAACACAUGCAAGUCGAACGUCCUGUCUCGCAAGAGGCAGGGAGUGGCGGACGGGUGAGUACCACGUGGGUUAUCUACCGUGAGGUGAGGAAUACCGGCGAGAAAUCGCCGACAAGACCGCAUAGCCUCGGUGCAAGCCGAGGAAAGCUUUCUCGAGAGAGGGAGCGCCACACGAGGAGCCUGCGCCCGAUUAGCUAGCUGGUGGAGUAACGGUUCACCAGGGCGACGAUCGGUAGCUGGUCUGAGAGGACGAUCAGCCACACUGGGAUUGAGAACGGCCCAGACUCCUACGGGGGCAGCAGUGAGGAAUUUUCGUCAAUGGGGGCAACCCUGAACGAGCAACGCCGCGUGCAGGAAGAAGGUUUUCGGAUCGUAAACUGCUUUUCGUCGGGGAAGAGAACGGACGGUACCCGAGGAAUCAGCCCCGGCUAACUACGCGCCAGCAGCCGCGGUAA